rnacentral:rRNA from 1 species
AGUGAACGCUGGCGGUAGGCCUAACACAUGCGAGUCGAACGGCAGCACAGUAAGAGCUUGCUCUUACGGGUGGCGAGUGGCGGACGGGUGAGGAAUGCAUCGGAAUCUACUUUUUCGUGGGGGAUAACGUAGGGAAACUUACGCUAAUACCGCAUACGACCUACGGGUGAAAGCAGGGGAUCUUCGGACCUUGCGCGAUUGAAUGAGCCGAUGUCGGAUUAGCUAGUUGGCGGGGUAAAGGCCCACCAAGGCGACGAUCCGUAGCUGGUCUGAGAGGAUGAUCAGCCACACUGGAACUGAGACACGGUCCAGACUCCUACGGGAGGCAGCAGUGGGGAAUAUUGGACAAUGGGCGCAAGCCUGAUCCAGCCAUACCGCGUGGGUGAAGAAGGCCUUCGGGUUGUAAAGCCCUUUUGUUGGGAAAGAAAAGCAGCAGGUUAAUACCCCGCUGUUCUGACGGUACCCAAAGAAUAAGCACCGGCUAACUUCGUG